rnacentral:rRNA from 1 species
UACGUAGGGGCCUAGCGUUGUCCGGAUUUAUUGGGCGUAAAGAGCUCGUAGGCGGUUUGGUGAGUCGGGUGUGAAAUCUCCACGCUCAACGUGGAGGAGCCACCCGAUACUGCCAUGACUAGAGUCCGGUAGGGGAGUGUGGAAUUCCCGGUGUAGCGGUGAAAUGCGCAGAUAUCGGGAGGAACACCAGUGGCGAAGGCGGGUCUCUGGACAGUAACUGACGCUGAGGAGCGAAAGCGUGGGUAGCAAACAGG